CUUUGGGGCAUGGCUAGGGAUGUUACGGAGGAAUGUAUAAAACAACGGAAGUCUCUCUCUCUCUUUUUCUGGCUUUCCGGCUUCCAGUUCAGCGGUGGAAAACUACUCGGCUCAUCUGGGUUACUUGUUUGGUCUCUUACACAUCUUCCAUUCGCCUGAAGACACUGGUUAUACAAAGACACUUGGAUAAUUUCCUGAGUUCUUCAUAUAAAGCCUCUUCUUCUAGUGGUAAUACCUUUCCCACAACCUUCAAGUACUAAGAGCCUUCAUCCGGUGGCUGAUGGAAGCAGAAGCAGAUA